rnacentral:rRNA from 1 species
UACGUAGGGCGCAAGCGUUGUCCGGAAUUAUUGGGCGUAAAGAGCUCGUAGGCGGCCUGUUGCGUCCGCUGUGAAAUCCCGGGGCUCAACCCCGGGCCUGCAGUGGAUACGGGUUGGCUGGAGGCAGGCAGGGGAGAACGGAAUUCCUGGUGUAGCGGUGAAAUGCGCAGAUAUCAGGAGGAACACCGGUGGCGAAGGCGGUUCUCUGGGCCUGUUCUGACGCUGAGGAGCGAAAGCGUGGGGAGCGAACAGG